rnacentral:rRNA from 1 species
UAGUUUGAUCAGUGGCUACAGAACGAACGCUGGCGGCGCGUUUAAGCAUGCAAGUCGAGCGGCAAGGGCCUUCGGGCCCCUAGAGCGGCGGACGGGUGAGUAACACGUGGACAAUCUGCCCCCCGGCCCGGGAUAGCCCAGGGAAACCUGGAUUAAUACCGGAUGAGACGGGACCCGCGAUGGCGGGACCCGGGAAAGGCGCUGCGGCGCCGCCGGGGGAUGAGUCUGCGUCCCAUUAGCUAGACGGCGGGGUAACGGCCCACCGUGGCGACGAUGGGUAGCCGGCCUGAGAGGGUGGACGGCCACAUUGGAACUGAGACACGGUCCAGACUCCUACGGGAGGCAGCAGCUAAGAAUCUUCCGCAAUGGGCGAAAGCCUGACGGAGCCGACGCCGCGUGAACGAAGAAGGCCGUGAGGUUGUAAAGUUCUUUUCGGGAGGGGGAACAACCGUGGCAGGGAAUGGCCGCGGGAUGACGUGAAUCCCGGAAUAAGCCCCGGCUAACUACGUGCCAGCCGCUGC